GAUGAACGCUAGCUACAGGCUUAACACAUGCAAGUCGAGGGGAAACGAUAGAGAAAGCUUGCUUUUUCUAGGCGUCGACCGGCGCACGGGUGAGUAACGCGUAUCCAACCUGCCCAUCACUUGGGGAUAACCUUGCGAAAGUAGACUAAUACCCAAUGACGUCUCUAGAAGACAUCUGAAAGAGAUUAAAGAUUUAUCGGUGAUGGAUGGGGAUGCGUCUGAUUAGCUUGUUGGCGGGGUAACGGCCCACCAAGGCGACGAUCAGUAGGGGUUCUGAGAGGAAGGUCCCCCCANAUUGGAACUGAGACACGGUCCAAAACUCCUACGGGAGGCAGCAGUGAGGAAUAUUGGUCAAUGGACGAGAGUCUGAACCAGCCAAGUAGCGUGCAGGAAGACGGCCCUAUGGGUUGUAAACUGCUUUAUAAGGGAAUAAAGUGAGUCUCGUGAGACUUUUUGCAUGUACCAUAUGAAUAAGGAUCGGCUAACUCCGUGCCAGCAGCC
rnacentral:rRNA from 1 species